UCUUCUUCUUCGCUUUUUCCCCCACGUUGAGUAAACACACGGAACUCUGCACGUGCUUCGGGGUUUCAGGAGGACGGUUCGGCUGUUAAAAUUAAACUCACAACUCAUCCUCUCACGCGCAGGAACACGAGCCAUGUCGACCAAUCAGGAGAGCCAGCUUCAGCCCAGUGCAUGCGCUCCGGUACCGACCCAGACCCUGGGAAGAGCCAUGAUCCCGCUGGGAAAACCCAAAUCCGGCCGAGUGUGGAAAGAUCGCAACAAACAGAGGUUCUCUGCUCUGUUGCGUGAUAAACCUCUGCGCAGCUCCUGGCAGAAGAAGAUGGAGGCCAAGAGGGAGAAGGAGAUGGUGAAGCAGUACCACCAACAGCUCAAAGAUGUGAAGGCCAGAGAGAAGGAGGAGAAGAGGAAGAGACGGGAAGAAAAUCUGAAGAGACGAGAGGAAAAUGAGAAGAAAGCAGAGAUUGUUCAAGUGAUACGUAACACGGCCAAACUGAAACGCAUGAAGAAGAAGCAGCUGAGGAAGAUAGAGAAGCGAGAUACUCUGUCUGUGCUGCAGAAAACUCCUCCCACCGUCAGAAAAGCACCCAAAGGAGAAUAAAAGAUGAACAGACACUAAAGACAUUAACGUCUCCUGAUUAAAGAAAGUAGCAGGCAGCAGCGAGAGCAGACGACAGACACAAGCAGACACAACAGAGCAUCUAACGAGAGAAGAUGGCUACAAAAGUCUGUGCUCCGCAAGGCAAGGUUUUGCCAAAAGCCAGUUCUCCUCAGGUUGUCCAUCAGUCCAAGUUUCAUCCACAGUUGGGUCAAACCACUCACAGCUUUCUAAAGGUGUAUGAUGAUGCCCCAGGAUCUACUCAGCCUGACAUCCUUGACGUACUGGUGUUUGACCCUUCUAAGAAUAUCAACAUCCCAAUUAACCUGAAGAUCACCGACACCGUUGACGCAUUGAUCAAGAAGUACCUGCAGAUAAGGCCUGAGCUGGGGAAAGAGCUACACCUCGCCUUCAACGGCAAAUCAGUUGCAGCAGACGCGAUCCUGAGAGAUCUGGGGGUGAAGCCCGGGGCCGUGUUCAUCACCUUCCAGAGAUGCCGUGGAGGAUAAGAGACCGGAUGUUACACCUCUCUCUUCAUCCGUAAAAUUAAUCUGAACUCUUUUCACUCCUGUGAAGAACUUCAUUCUCAGGUCUGCUUUAAAGUAAAACCGGGUAGAUUUAUCUUUCAUUAUUCAGCACCAGAGACAAUCAAUAAUAUGAAUAUAUUACAAAGAACAUGCAGAAAUCUCAUAUCAUUAGGUGUAAACUGUCACUUACUCUGUGUAUGUAGGAUCAUCACACUGUGUUCUAUUUCAUGAUUUGAAAUGAACUUGAUUUCUGCUGACUGUAACCGUUAUCAUAUUUACUGAUCUUACUGUCAUAUUAUUCCACAGCUACUAUUUUUCUAAUAUAUCUAUCUUAUAUUCUUCUUAAAAAUAAAUAAAUUCAUCACAGAA